rnacentral:tRNA from 1 species
GCGGACAUCGCUUAAUGGCAAAAGCUCAAGCUCAAUGGUGAGACUUCCUGUAUGUGGAGUACACCACUCUGUCUCACCACUGUGUAAGAUAGCUUGAAUGUGGGUUGGAAUCCCUCUGUCUGCU